rnacentral:lncRNA from 1 species
AUACUUGGCAUUUGUACAACAUGGCAGACAUCGACAACAAAGAACAGUCUGAACUUGAUCAAGAUUUGGAUGAUGUUGAAGAAGUAGAAGAAGAAGAAACUGGUGAAGAAACAAAAAUCAAAGCGCGUCAGCUGACUGUUCAGAUGAUGCAAAAUCCUCAGAUUCUUGCAGCCCUUCAAGAAAGACUUGAUGGUCUGGUAGAAACACCAACAGGAUACAUUGAAAGGUACACGUUCUUCUUUUUCAUAGUCUGUCUUUCUGUAAUCAGCGUUGCAGGUGAAUAUUUUUUAAGGUCAUCUGGGACUUAAUGUAUGUCACAGUGGAAAAGCGAAUGUUCAUCAUAGGAUUAUCAGGGGUUUAAAAUUUUGCUAAGUACCAAUUUAGAGUUGGUCUUUUAAAGUUUAUUUUGGUUCAUCUCCAUAGGAAGUAUAUGAAUCUUAAAUCAUCCCUGAGAUUUGUUUAGAGAUUUGUUAGAAAUGCAGAGAAUUAGAAGAAAUACAGAUUUCUUAUUUAUUUCAUUGGUGAUAAAAGUCAUAGUGAUAACCCAAAUAUCUUAUUCUUUUUCACACAACUUUGAUUUUACGAUCUGCCCACGUUGCUGUCUGUAUGUGUCUCUAGUCAGUGGUUUCUCUGUGUUCCCUUGCUCUCUGUGAUGUGCGUCCACCAUGCUUCACUGUAUGCUUUUUCUUUGACGGCCGUCUGGGUUGUCGCCGAGCUCCAUCAACACAAAUUCCAUUGUGAUGGUCAUCCUGGUGCCUGUCCUGUUAAGGGGCUGUGUGAGAGUUUCUCUGGUGUAUGUACUUCCCGGUGGGGUUUAUAGUUACGGGAUAUGCAAGCCUUCGGUACUUCCAGAAUAUGUGAAGGUUGAUUUAGCCUUGUGUCCUUGCCAGCAGUUGGCAUCAUUCAGCCUUAUAGUUUUUGUCUUUACCAGCCUAAGAGAUGCAGGCUCCUUUUGUUUUGUUUGUAUUUUCUGAUUUUUAAUGAGUUGACUUUCUUUGCAUGAUAAUUGGGAGUGAGCCUUUUAGGUUGCUCAUUUGUAUGUACCCUUUGGCCCAUUCACUUUUGGGGGUUUACUGUCUUUUUUGUUUUGUAGGAGUUCUUAAUGUGUUCUAGAUUUUAAUCCUUUCUCAGUUUUAGACUUCAUAACUAAUUUUUUGUGUCCUUUCUAUUAAUUUUGUCCAUGGUUUCCUCCAUUAAAUCCCUAAUUUUUAUGUUCAUUAAAUUUUUUACCUAUGUCUUGUUCUUUUGA